AUUGAACGCUGGCGGCAGGCUUAACACAUGCAAGUCGAACGGUAGCAGGAGAAAGGUUGCUUUCUUGCUGACGAGUGGCGGACGGGUGAGUAAUGCUUGGGAAUCUGGCUUAUGGAGGGGGAUAACGACGGGAAACUGUCGCUAAUACCGCGUAUUAUCGGAAGAUGAAAGUGCGGGACUGAGAGGCCGCAUGCCAUAGGAUGAGCCCAAGUGGGAUUAGGUAGUUGGUGGGGUAAAGGCCUACCAAGCCUGCGAUCUCUAGCUGGUCUGAGAGGAUGACCAGCCACACUGGAACUGAGACACGGUCCAGACUCCUACGGGAGGCAGCAGUGGGGAAUAUUGCGCAAUGGGGGGAACCCUGACGCAGCCAUGCCGCGUGAAUGAAGAAGGCCUUAGGGUUGUAAAGUUCUUUCGGUAUUGAGGAAGGUUGAUGUGUUAAUAGCACAUCAAAUUGACGUUAAAUACAGAAGAAGCACCGGCUAACUCCGUGCCAGCAGCCGCGGUAAUACGGAGGGUGCGAGCGUUAAU
rnacentral:rRNA from 1 species